AAACUAGGAUUAGAUACCCUUUUAUAAUUUUUGAAGGUAUUAAGAAAUGUUUUUUAAACCUAAUGUUUCUGGCGGUUUUUUUUCUUUUCAGAGGGGCUUGUUUUUUAAUCGAUAGUCCUCGUUUAAAUUUUCUUUUAUUAUUAUUUUAUAUACCUCCGUUUGAAGAUAAUUAUUAGUUUACUUUUCUUUUUAAUUUUUUAUGAAAUUCAGGUCAAGGUUUAAUUUAUAUAUGAGAAAAAAUUAGCCAUGUAUUUUUAUCUUUUUUGUAAAUAGAUUUUUAGGAUUUGUUGGUAAAUUUUUGUUAGUUUCUUCUUUUGAAUUAGUAAAAAAAGAUGUACAUAUCGCCCGUCACUCUUUUGAAAGAUAAGUCGUAACAUAGUA
rnacentral:rRNA from 1 species